CCUACGGGUGGCUGCAGUGAGGAAUAUUGGUCAAUGGGCGCAAGCCUGAACCAGCCAAGUAGCGUGAAGGAUGAAUGCCCUAUGGGUUGUAAACUUCUUUUAUAGGGGAAUAAAGUGCAGUAUGUAUACUGCUUUGCAUGGACCGUAUGAAUAAGGAUCGGCUAACUCCGUGCCAGCAGCCGCGGUAAUACGGAGGAUCCGAGCGUUAUCCGGAUUUAUUGGGUUGAAAGGGAGCGUAGGCGGGUUGUUAAGUCAGUUGUGAAAGUUUGCGGCUCAACCGGAAAAUUGCAGUUGAUACUGGCAUCCUUGAGUACAGUAGAUGUAGGCGGACUUCGUGGUGUAGCGGUGACAUGCUUAGAUAUCACG
rnacentral:rRNA from 1 species